GUGGCGCUUAUGACGCAGUUGUCUUAAACUCGAACUCGAGCGGGCAAUUGCUGAUUACGAUUAACCAC
rfam:Drosophila melanogaster GH03581 full insert cDNA.